CCUACGGAAGGCAGCAGUGGGGAAUAUUGCACAAUGGGGGAAACCCUGAUGCAGCGACGCCGCGUGAGUGAAGAAGUAUUUCGGUAUGUAAAGCUCUAUCAGCAGGGAAGAAGAAAGACGGUACCUGACUAAGAAGCCCCGGCGAACUACGUGCCAGCAGCCGCGGUACUACGUAGGGGGCAAGCGUUAUCCGGAUUUACUGGGUGUAAAGGGAGCGUAGACGGCUGUGCAAGUCUGAAGUGAAAGCCCAGGGCUCAACCCUGGGACUGCUUUGGAAACUGUGGAGCUAGAGUGCUGGAGAGGUAAGUGGAAUUCCUAGUGUAGCGGUGAAAUGCAUAGAUAUUAGGAGGAACACCAGUGGCGAAGGCGGCUUACUGGACAGUAACUGACGUUGAGGCUCGAAAGCGUGGGGAGCAAACAGGAUUAGAUACCCGGGUAGUC
rnacentral:rRNA from 1 species